rnacentral:rRNA from 1 species
UACGGGGGGAGCAAGCGUUGUUCGGAUUUACUGGGCGUAAAGGGCGCGUAGGCGGCGCAACAAGUCACUUGUGAAAUCUCCGGGCUUAACCCGGAGCGGUCAAGUGAUACUGUCGUGCUAGAGUGCGGAAGGGGCUACUGGAAUUCUUGGUGUAGCGGUGAAAUGCGUAGAUAUCAAGAGGAACACCUGCGGCGAAGGCGGGUUGCUGGGCCGACACUGACGCUGAAGCGCGAAAGCCAGGGGAGCGAACGGG